rnacentral:rRNA from 1 species
AUGGAUAGUGAGAGGGAUAGCAUCCUGGGCAGUUUUAUGGCACUACUAAACAUGGUUGAGCAGCCAAUGUCAAAUUUGAAUCAACGGAACAAUCUGAAGUCAUUACCCGAAGAUAGUUCUUGCUUUUCUGAUAGACCUUAUUGCUCAGAAGACAACGAUGUACUUUCGAGACCAAAUUUAAGGGUGGACACUUACGAUUAUGCUGAUGACUCGAAUGAAGUUCAGUCCCGUCUUGAAUGUAUCAAAGACACCGUUGAAAUUACAGAUAUGAUAUCUGGGCCUGAAAAUCUAGAUCAGGACUACUUAUUUUCUGCAUACAAUGUUCACACUGAGGAGUCUGAUUCUAAUGAACGAUACCUUGAAGGAGGACAAGUUGGAGCUGUUGAACACGGAAUUAGAAGUUUUUGUGAAGACACUUCUGUUCAAAUGUUAAGGCCGGUUGUUGGUAUGAAGUUUUCAUCAAAGGCAGAAGCAUAUGACUUCUACAAUACUUAUUCUUGGGUGCUUGGUUUCAGUAUUAGAUAUGGUGAUAAUUUUAUUAAUUCCAAAGGCGUACAAACUAUGCAGGAAUUAAUUUGCCAAUGA